rnacentral:rRNA from 1 species
AACGAACGCUGGCGGCAGGCUUAACACACGCAAGUCGAGCGCCCCGCAAGGGGAGCGGCAGACGGGUGAGUAACGCGUGGGAAUCUACCCAUCUCUACGGAAUAACGCAUGGAAACGUGUGCUAAUACCGUAUACGUCCUUCGGGAGAAAGAUUUAUCGGAGAUGGAUGAGCCCGCGUUGGAUUAGCUAGUUGGUGGGGUAAAGGCCUACCAAGGCGACGAUCCAUAGCUGGUCUGAGAGGAUGAUCAGCCACACUGGGACUGAGACACGGCCCAGACUCCUACGGGAGGCAGCAGUGGGGAAUAUUGGACAAUGGGCGCAAGCCUGAUCCAGCCACGCCGCGUGAGUGAUGAAGGCCCUAGGGUUGUAAAGCUCUUUCACCGGUGAAGGUAAUGACGGUAACCGGAGAAGAAGCCCCGGCUAACUUCGUGCCAGCCGCCGCCGUAAGAC